rnacentral:ncRNA from 2 species
UAUAAAGAUAGAGGAAGCGAUGCAUCAGAGUAGUAUGAGGAGUCGGCAGACUAAGAAUCAUAUGAAAGGUAAUCAUCGCCGAAAGAAGAUAAGCGGCAGCUUAUAGUCUUGGGGAUUCAGGAAAUACCUGUCUCACUCCUUCAUGAUGAAGAGGCGUUAUCUAAUCG